rnacentral:snoRNA from 15 species
GGUGAAAAUGAUGAAUUCUGGGUCUCUGAGUCAUGUGACCUGAAAAAGGCCAUCCAUUUCCUGAUUCACC